UUUCUUCUUCAAGAUCCUCUGAGGAGAUACCCUCCUUGAGCUCCAAGUUCCACAUUUUAGAUAGGGCUGUAGCAGAUGACUCCACAAAAGAAAAAUAUGUCAAAGCUUAUAAGUAGGUUUACACUAUGAUGUAAAAAUACUUUUCAUUCAAAUUCUUUUCCUUCUAAAAUGAAAGCAAGACAUUAUUGCACUUAGUAGAACACAAUUUCAGCAGAAAAAGAUGGAUAUAACAAUUAAAACCUAUGCUGCACUUAGUAAGUUAAAGCCCACUGAACUAAAGCCCCGGGAAGGAGCAAGAGGAGGGGAGGGGCUGCAAAGGCUAUAAAAACUGAAGGAGCAGCAGAGGUGCUCAGUCAGAGCUUGUUGCUAGAGGGUGAGAGAAGAGUGAUCAGAGGUAAAAAAAGCAGAAGCCUUAAGUUGGUGCCUCUCCUGUGUGACCAGUCAAAGCCUGUCCCCUGUCCAUCCCAGCUGGCCUGACUCCCACCUAUAGAUGUUCUCGCUAAAGUCUGAGUCUCUGUUAAAAAACCCUGGUCCUAAGCUUCACAUAAACAUGGCUCUCAGCUGAACCUGGGCACUUCCCAAAGGUAUUUAUACCAGAUCAAGUGAUGUGCUGUGACUGAAAUCUGUUUAUCAGCCUAUCUGGGAGGAGUGUGUUGCCUCUUCAUCCUUUCACAAAAAAUAGUGAGGACUGGGCAGUGUCUGAUGGCUGUGACUGUGCCUUGUUCUGUCCUACCUGAGGUGCUGCACAAGCCCUCAGUCACUGAUGGCACUUGCACAAAAACAAGUGUAACUUUAGGUGUGCUCUGAUGUGAGCACACACAGAGCUAGAUUUAAUCACACUCAUUGCCCACACCUUAUAGUUUAUAAAAAGCUUAUGUUCCAAGAGGGAGAAGAAUGUAUGGAGAGGAAAGAAACAGUUCAAUUUUAAAGGCAAGAGUAGACAGAGUUUCAACUUCUAAAACUAUAUAUAAGAAAUACAUGGAAAAACAGAUGUGACUUAAACUAAGGGCAUGGAGCCAGAAAACCAAAGGACAGCACCUCAGAGGGACAGUUGCAGUUUGCUGUUUAAAGGGCCCUCAGCUACUCUGGACAAAAGGGAGAAGCUCCCACUACAGGGAAGGUGCCAGGCUCUACUGUGUCUGUUGGAGUUGAGAAUUGAACAGGUGUGAAGUGGCAGAAGUCAGCAGGUCUGAAGUCUCAUUUCUAGGUGAAAAAUUGCACUGUGAAAGCAGAAAGCUACAGUAAAAAAACACCACAACAUUGAUCCACUAGUCAGGAAAGAACUCAUCAGAGACACAUAAACACAACUUCACACCCUUCAAUAUAUAAACCACUCAACAAAAUAAAUUAUGCUAUGCUGGCAAAGUAGUAAAAGGACUUAAGAAAAUUGAAAAAGCUUAUAGCAAUGAAGGAUUAUUCCCAGUGCAAUAGAAGGAAUGUGUAUCACACUAAGUGACUGUGCUUUGCCUGUGAAAAUCAGCCAAGUGAGGAAGAAGCAAGGCUGAUGGCAGAAGUGAUGCUGGACACAUAUUUACCUUGGUUCUCUGCAGUCAGCAAUAGGCUCAGGGCCAUACUCAAGGCAAGACAUAUCUCCCUUUUUCUCUACUAUCACUGCUCACAGCAGGGAUUUCUUUUGUUUAUAUGCUACUGUGCAUCUCUAGAAUUGGAAACAGAUUAAUUCCCAAAGGGCAAAAGGGAUUCCUAGAGAACAGGGAAGUGUAGGUGACCCUGGGGAUCACAAGAGCAUAAUCUACAGCAUAAUUUAGGGUGCUUGGUUAGGGCAAAAUUAUUCAAGAUUAUUUAAAAUCUGUGGCAGAUGCUAUUUGUGCUGUGUAUGCCCAUAUGAUUUAGCAUCAUGCAGAACAAAAACCAGCGUUCACUGAAGUCUCAGGCCAGAUUUCAUCAUUAAGAAUAUUGGGCAGGACUAGUAUGUCUCACUCCCAGGAGCUGAUGCCUGGGUGUGGCUCCUGUGCUCAAAGGAGCAGUCUUUCAGUUCCACAGUUACCUCAUGGAUCUGACCUCUUUGGCACACAACAAUACAGAAACACUACAAUAUUCCAGGAAUAGAUAGAAGGAAUAGAAGGAUAAAUCACUUUGCUUUCCCCUUUCAUUGGCUGAACCUGUACUUGCCAUCAGGCAAGUGAUGAGCUCCUGAACUGACACCCAAUAGAACCUCAACCUGUACAAAUACAGGAGACUCUGCUGCAGCACAGGGAGGUGAACAGCAGGUUUAGGUCUUUGUAGUGAGGCAGGAGAGAGACCCUUAAUCACAAUCUCAGGAACAGCCACAAGCAGAUGAACAAAGGUCUGCUCUGCCCUGGUUCCUCCUUCUGACAGUGGCCAACAGCAGAUGCUCCAGGAAGUAUAAAACAGAGGUAAGUACAAAAUUAUAUUUGUAGUGUAUUCCCAGCUUUCAAUGCCUUGGGCUUAAGUUCUGAAGUAGAGGUGAUGAUCUGUAUUUGAUAGGGUUUUUUUCCCUAAUGGUUUCUUUUGGGAGCUGUGUAAGCUUCCAGCCCGUGUUCUUUGGCAAGAAAUUUUGCAGCUCAGCUAACACUGGUGUGAAGAGGAGCUCUUGGUUGUGAAUCUGCCUUGUGCUAGUUUCAUUUGAUCCCAUCCGACUUUCAUGCUAAUAGAAUGUUUAGUUACUCCCCAAGAGCCUUUCCACCUUCCAAAAGUUUGGGGUUCUCCAGUUUCCACAUCAGGCUGAACACAGCCUUCCAUGAACUACAGAUGCUUGCUUUCUUGACGGUCUAGAAGGGCUGACUCUUCUUGAGGAACCUGCUGGCUUCCUGCAGAACACAGAACUCAGAACUAAUAUGGAGGUUGUGCAGGUCUGCCCUUCCUGUGCCCAGUUAAAGCCUUGUCAAAGAAUGAGGAUGCUCAGGAAAUGCCAAGUGCCCAUGUCAAAUGGUUUUGACUUGGUUAGUGCUUCACUUAGCUGAUGCUAAAUCAGAAGAUGAUGGUGUAGCUGACUGCUGAAGGGACAGCGGGAAAAUGUGGUGGCUGGAUUUUAGUCCCAAGGUAUUGCAAUUGAGGCCAAAAGGGAAUUUAAAGGGAUCUGUCUUAUACUUAUGUGUCCCUGAAAGAAAAUAGCUGUUGAAGCAUUCACAGAGAGAGCAGUUGAGCCUGUAGCUUACACCUCACAGUCCAUUCAAGCAUUGAUUAUGAUCAGUUGUGUACCUAAAGGAAAGGAGAGAUUAGGGGCAGAUCUUGAUAGUUUGCAUGACCCUGGCAAAACCACUUCUGUUUCAACUCUGCUAAAUAAUAGAAAUAAGAAUCCAAAGACCAGUCUGGUACAACUUCUGGAUUCAGGAGGUGAAAAGUGUGCUGGAGUGGUUAUGGGCGCUUGUGGAUGCUGGACAGCUUGCCAAGAUGUGGCUUAGUGAAUGUGCAAUAAUUCCAUUCAGUGCAAGUGGUGCAGUGAAAGCACACUGAACUGCUGUGUGUUAAGCUGCUGCCAUCAGUGUCACCUGGAUUUACAAUUAGUAUUUACAACAAUAGCAUUAGAGUAUCACAAGAACUUUCAGUAAUGGAAGGUGAUCAGCAUGUAACUGUUUGAUAAUAUGUUGGGUUCUUAGGUAGGCUCAUUGCAAAGAAGCACAUGGUUAUCUGGGAAGAGCCUCUCUCUUGCACUGAAUUCUUCAUCCCAGCACUUCUAGAGCAAAGAGAUGAGCACUACUAGGUCAGACCAAUGAUUUGUCUGUCCCUUACACUGUCUGAGAGUGGCCAAAACCUGAUACCCAGAGAAACAAAGAACAGCAUGAGCAGUUAGCAACAGCUCUUCUGCAACCCCCCAGCUAUUUGUUCAACUUUGGAAAUUGCUCAGUUAGGCAUGUUUUUCUAUGCAUUUAUUAACUCUCAGUAAACUUCUCAUCCAUGAACCUUUCCCCAGGUUACCUGGGAACUUGAAGCUCUUCACACCCCCAGCGUCAUGUGGCAAGUUCUUUUGCUUGACUGCUUUGCAUGGGAAGACUGACAGGGACUGAAAAGCAGCUUAGAAGGGAUGAAAGUGCAGUGGAUUAGACUGCUGGAUAUCUGUUCAGUGUCUGGGUACCAGAUUUAAGGAAACAAUCUUUUGAAGCACAAGGGAGAAUGUAGUUCUAGGAUGACACUCCCUGGCCAAGUCUCUGCAUUAAUGGGCUGGGCAGGUGUGCAAUGUCAAAACAAAAGCCAUUGAAUCCUACCCCUACAGCUGCAACAAGUGCCUGCCUUUUACAGAUGCAUGGCACAUGUGCUCCCUGUACUCCCACUCAGUGCAAGGCACAGAACACUUCCUCGAGCCCUACAGCACCUAUUGUAGUGCCUUGCCAUUUGCCAAUUAAGUAGCAGAAAAAACUGAAGGUGAAUAAUUUCAUGGAUUUUUACAAACUCCCAGGAAACAGCCUCCUUGCCCCUCUGUUCAGCUACAGAGGAACUAUCUGUUCUAUUAACAGGAAAAUUCUGCCCAGCAAUGCCUGCACUGACAUUAAAUCAUGUCCUCACCAUCAGACAUACUGGAGGCCUAAGCAGAAUGGAAAGCAAGUCUUUAACUUGAUUACCCAAUUAUCUUGAGGUAAUCAACCAAUAAUCUUUGGAUACAGUCAUUUUUUUAUUUCUUAUUCCUCCUAUCUUCUUAACAAAUAGCUUCCACAAAACAAACCUUGCUAUGCCUACAAGCAAGCAAGCAAAGAGAGCCCCUUGAGCAGAUAAAAAACCCCAUUAAAGCAGACAUCAAUCUACAGCUCAUUACAUUUCCUACCCUGGAGAGCUGAGAAGAGCAGGGCUGUGCAUCUGUGGGAGCUGCAGCACCUGCCAGAGCUGCACUGGGCUCAGCAGGCCAAAAAUCACCUCUGCAUGCUUGGACUUUGCUGUCCUCGGCCAGCCAAAAGUCCAGCCAGGACAUGUGGCAGUGCCAGGCACCGCCGUGGAGCUGCUGAUCCACCUCAUCCACCAGCCCAG